rnacentral:rRNA from 1 species
AUUGAACGCUGGCGGCAUGCCUUACACAUGCAAGUCGAACGGCAGCACGGGAGCAAUCCUGGUGGCGAGUGGCGAACGGGUGAGUAAAGUAUCGGAACGUGCCCAGUCGUGGGGGAUAACGUAGCGAAAGUUACGCUAAUACCGCAUACGAUCUAUGGAUGAAAGCGGGGGAUCGCAAGACCUCGCGCGAUUGGAGCGGCCGAUAUCAGAUUAGGUAGUUGGUGGGGUAAAGGCUCACCAAGCCGACGAUCUGUAGCUGGUAUGAGAGGACGACCAGCACCACUGGGACUGAGGCACGGAGCAGACUCCUACGGGAGGCAGCAGUGGGGAAGUUUGGACAAUGGGCGAAAGCCUGAUCCAGCCAUGCCGCUUGCAGGAAGAAGGCCUUCGGGUUGUAAACUGCUUUUGUACGGAACGAAAAGGUUUGGCCUAAUAAGCUGAGCUCAUGACGGUACCGUAAGAAUAAGCACCGGCUAACUACGUGCCAGCCGCCGCCGUAA